rnacentral:tRNA from 1 species
GGCCGGUUGGCCCAAUGGCAAGGCGUCUGACUACGACUGACUACAAUCGGUGAAAUCAGGAGAUUCUGGGUUCGACCCCCAGGCUGGUCA